GCUACAAUAAGAAUAACUGCAUUAAGAGAACCUGAAGAAAGGACACCAGGUUGACCCUCCUAGAAGGAGACAGUUGAGUGGAGGAAUGAGGAGGGUGUACAGACAAAAAGAAAUCGAAGACACUUCAUCCCUGGCAGAGAAAAGAGUGACUCCCGAGCCACAUUUUGAAGAGAGACGUGCUGGUCCUGAAGUAUGGUGAAUUCACUUCCAGGCAUAAAGAAAAGAAAGAGCAGGAAAUAUAAUUUGGGAGAUUUUAAUGGCCAGACUUGGAAGUGGUGUGCAUAACUAUUGUCUGCAUUCAGAACACCAUCAUUUGCCCCAGGUUGCUGGAAGAGAAGCAGGAAAAGUAUCCUCAUGUGAGCCCAGGAG
rnacentral:lncRNA from 1 species